rnacentral:lncRNA from 1 species
UUUCAUCUAGGAAAUUUUACUAUACUAAAUAUUUUAUUAAACAAAGACUGACUCAUUUUAAAGUCUAUUGCAAACUUCCAUAUGAUGAUGACUUACUUUGCCUAACCUAUUUUAAAGGAGAGGAACUUGCCAUGAACAAUCAUCUUGUUAUCACAUAACAAUUUGAUUAAAUUAUGUACAUGGAACAACUCGUUCGCAAAACUUCGAUGAUCAAUCUAAUACUUCCAUGACCAAUACAAUUAGCCAAGUUACUUGUGAUAAAACUGAAGGGCUUCAUCUUUCUCCCUCAAUUUUCUCGGAAACAAAACAAACCACAACCAGAACAGACGAACAUUAUGCCAAAAUUACAAAAGCCCCCACUUAAAAAACCAAAAAAUGCUUAAAAAAAAAAAAGUCUUACUUGCAAAACCUCAAGCUGGUAUUGUAAAUCAUCAAGAGCUGUCUGAAUUGCAUUCAAGCUCUUAGCCUCUUCAGUCGUCGAUGCCGAAUCAUAUAUCUAGAAAGACGAUUCUUGCCAUUGUCUUCAAUUACUCAAUAAGGUCAUAUUGUGAUUACACAAAAGAAAAAUCUAAAAAGUUGUUGAGAUAAGUGCGAUUCAAACUCUUAGCCUCUUGAAUCGCCCACCCAAAUCGCAUUGGAGCUGGUCUCUAUUACUUUUUGCCUUUCUCUUUUGCGAUGGUUAAUUAGGGAUUGCUUUUUCCUUUUGCAA